rnacentral:rRNA from 1 species
UACGGGGGGAGCAAGCGUUGUUCGGAUUUACUGGGCGUAAAGGGCGCGUAGGCGGCGUGACAAGUCACUUGUGAAAUCUCCGGGCUUAACUCGGAACGGUCAAGUGAUACUGUCGUGCUAGAGUACAGAAGGGGCAACUGGAAUUCUCGGUGUAGCGGUGAAAUGCGUAGAUAUCGAGAGGAACACCUGCGGCGAAGGCGGGUUGC